rnacentral:lncRNA from 12 species
AUGUUUUGCAGCUGGGAGCCUGCUCUUAUCUAUGGCUUAGUUACCUUUAUACAACCUCAUGGGAUUUAUCUUCUAAUGGAAGAGAGACAAGCCAGCAAUCAGGUGCUAAAAACUACAAAAUUAAGUCUCCUAAAGAAAACACAGGAUGGUGGAAACAGAGUCAGCUGCCUGGCAUCUAUAGAAGAUUGGAAAAGAUUUAAGCUACUGUUUUCUCUUCUGUACAACUUUAUUAUCCCUCACAGGUACAAAGAUCAUUGUUGA